UACGUAGGGGGCAAGCGUUGUCCGGAAUCAUUGGGCGUAAAGCGCGCGUAGGCGGCCCUGUAAGUCCGUUGUGAAAGUCAAAGGCUCAACCUUUGAAAGCCGAUGGAUACUGCAGGGCUAGAGUCCGGAAGAGGCGAGUGGAAUUCCUGGUGUAGCGGUGAAAUGCGCAGAUAUCGGGAAGAACACCCGUGGCGAAGGCGGUUCUCUGGGACGGUACUGACGCUGAGACGCGAAAGCGUGGGGAGCGAACAGG
rnacentral:rRNA from 1 species